UUCAAAACGCAAGGCGCUCUUUUACAUUGCUUGAUUAGGCUCUUGUUGGAUGACGGAAUUUAAGUGAGAGUUCUUGGAUUUGCUGUUUUUUCUGGUUUCUGAAUCCAUUAUCGCCAGUCAGAAUAGCCAUGUUGAUUGUAUCCAUCAGGAGAAAUGCACGGCUGCAAUUAAUAGUUGUUUUAUUUAAUGGGCAAUUAAUAGAACAUGAAUAUCAUUCUGUAAGCAUAAAUAAAAUAUUUUCUGUAUUUUGUUCCAUCUCAUCUCCUACUGUCAGACAACGACAUGAACAAAAAAUUAUGUCUUAUCUAUUAUUUUGUCUCCACAAAUCGGUCUCGUCUCUUGCAUCUCAUUUCCUAUUUUCUUGUCCACACAGUCAAUC
rnacentral:lncRNA from 1 species